AAAAAGGCAAACAGUUGAUUCUCGUGUCAACGUGUUUGACUGUCCGUUUUAUACGAAAUUUUUUUAUAAUUAAUAUUUUCAUUGUUGUUAGAAGAUAAAAUAUGAUUAAUACUUUAUAUGUGACUUAUUUUUUAUUUUUUAUUUAUUUUUUUUAAACAAGACGGACGGUCAAACGUGUAACGAGG
rnacentral:pre_miRNA from 1 species